rnacentral:rRNA from 1 species
CGCUGGCGGCGUGCUUAACACAUGCAAGUCGGACGAUGAAACAGGAGCUUGCUCUUGGGGAUUAGUGGCGAACGGGUGAGUAACACGUGAGUAACCUGCCCUUGACUCUGGGAUAACCUCCGGAAACGGAAGCUAAUACCCGGAUACGAACUGCGAAGGCAUCUUCAGCAGUUGGAAAGAACUUCGGUCAAGGAUGGACUCGCGGCCUAUCAGGUAGUUGGUGAGGUAACGGCCCACCAAGCCUACGACGGGUAGCCGGCCUGAGAGGGUGACCGGCCACACUGGGACUGAGACACGGUCCAGACUCCUACGGGAGGCAGCAGUGGGAAUAUUGCACAAUGGGCGCAAGCCUGAUGCAGCAACGCCGCGUGAGGGAUGACGGCCUUCGGGUUGUAAACCUCUUUUUAGUAGGGAAGAAGCGAAAGUGACGGUACCUGCAGAAAAAGCACCGGCUAACUACGUGCCAGCAGCCGCGGUAAUACGUAGGGUGCGAGCGUUGUCCGGAAUUAUUGGGCGUAAAGAGCUCGUAGGCGGUCUGUCGCGUCUGCUGUGAAAACCGAGCUCAACC